ensembl:rRNA 5S_rRNA 5S ribosomal RNA
GACUAUAACCAUGCCACCCGGAACAAGUCAGAUCCCAUCUGAUCUCAGAAGCUAAGGAAGCGAAGCAGGGUCGGACCUGGUUAGUACUUGAAUGGGAGAUCACCUAAGAAGACCGGGUGCUUUAGGUG